rnacentral:rRNA from 1 species
UACGGGGGGGGCAAGCGUUGUUCGGAAUUACUGGGCGUAAAGGGCUCGUAGGUGGCCAACUAAGUCAGACGUGAAAUCCCUCAGCUUAACUGGGGAACUGCGUCUGAUACUGGAUGGCUUGAGUUUGGGAGAGGGAUGCGGAAUUCCAGGUGUAGCGGUGAAAUGCGUAGAUAUCUGGAUGAACAUCGGUGGCGAAGGCGGCAUCCUGGACCAACACUGACACUGAGGAGCGAAAGCGUGGGGAUCAAACAGG